UUUAUACUUCCUUCGUUUCGAAUUACUUGUCUUAGAUUUGUCUAGAUACGGAGAUAUCUAGCACUAAAAUGAGUCUAGAUACAUCCGUAUCUAGACAAAUCAAAGACAAGUAAUUCGAAACGAAGGGAGUAGUUG
rfam:Triticum urartu cultivar G1812 contig1119558, whole genome shotgun sequence.